UAGUCAUAUGCUUGUCUCAAAGAUUAAGCCAUGCAUGUCUAAGUACAAGCCUCACUAAGGUGAAACCGCGAAUGGCUCAUUAAAUCACACCUAAUCUACUGGAUAGUUAACAGUUACUUGGAUAACUGCGGUAAUUCUGGAGCUAAUACAUGCACAAAGCCCCGAACUUACGUGAGGGGCGCUUUUAUUAGAUCAAAACCAAACUGCUUCGGCUGUAUCCUUGGUGACUCUGAAUAACUUUGGGCUGAUCGCAUGGCCUAGCGCCGGCGACAUAUCCUUCGAAGGUGUGCCCUAUCAACUGUCGACUGUGGCAUAGACGCCCACAGUGGUUUUGACGGGUAACGGGGAAUCAGGGUUCGAUUCCGGAGAGGGAGCCUUAAAAACGGCUACCACAUCUAAGGAAGGCAGCAGGCACGCAAAUUACCCAAUGACCGAAGGUCGAGGUAGUGACAAAAAAUAACGAUACGGGACUCAUCUGAGGCCCCGUAAUCGGAAUGAGUACACUUUAAAACCGUCCCCGAGGAUCUAUU
rnacentral:rRNA from 1 species